ACUUUGUGGCUGCCAUUUUAUGACUCUGAUAACGUCUGCCCCCCCACACCCCACCCCCAAGUCUGGCUGGAGCAGGACUGCCUGGUGUCCAUUCCAGGAGAGGAGCCCUGCACUGAACUGUGAGGAACACGGGAGGGUGAGAGAUGCCAGUCCCUGACUCCAUGAGAUGGUCAGAACAGUCACAACUGGGUGAAUAUGAUGAUCCCUGCCCCUGCUACCUCAAUCUGGGUCUACCCUGUGCCCCAGAACCCCUUCUCAGGGCCCAGUGCUGGGAUUGCUGCUGACAACCCACAGACACCUCCAGACAAGAAUGGCACGCAAAGACGACCCACAGUGUACCAGAGCUUCCAUCUCAAUCAACCACAGUAUCCCCCACCGGGCUCCCCACUCCUCACACACCCGGAGCCACUAAAUGGAAGGCAAGU